UACAGAGGGGGCAAGCGUUAUUCGGAAUUAUUGGGCGUAAAGGGCGCGUAGGCGGCGAUUCAAGUGACGGGUGAAAUCCCUCGGCUUAACCGAGGAACUGCCUGUCAGACUGGAUUGCUUGAGGCCGGGAGAGGCGAGUGGAAUUCCCAGUGUAGCGGUGAAAUGCGUAGAUAUUGGGAGGAACACCAGUGGCGAAAGCGGCGCACUGGACCACAACUGACGCUGAGGCGCGAAAGCUAGGGGAGCAAACAGG
rnacentral:rRNA from 1 species